UACGUAGGGUGCGAGCGUAAUCGGAAUUACUGGGCGUAAAGCGUGCGCAGGCGGUUUUGUAAGUCAGAUGUGAAAUCCCCGGGCUCAACCUGGGAACUGCGUUUGAAACUACAAGGCUAGAGUGUAGCAGAGGGGGGUAGAAUUCCACGUGUAGCAGUGAAAUGCGUAGAGAUGUGGAGGAAUACCAAUGGCGAAGGCAGCCCCCUGGGUUAACACUGAC
rnacentral:rRNA from 1 species